ACGAACGCUGGCGGCGUGCUUAACACAUGCAAGUCGAACGAUGAAGAAGAGAAACGCGAACUUCGGUUCAAAUUUCACUUCGGAUUAGUGGCAGACGGGUGAGUAACGCGUGAGCAACCUACCUCUUACAAAGGGAUAGCCUCGGAAACCGUGAUUAAUACCAUAUGACACAUUCAUAAGGCAUCUUAAGAAUGUUAAAGCUACGGCGGUAAGAGAUGGGCUCGCGUCCCAUUAGCUAGUUGGUGAGGUAACGGCCCACCAAGGCGACGAUGGGUAACCGGCCUGAGAGGGUGAACGGUCACAUUGGAACUGAGACACGGUCCAAACUCCUACGGGAGGCAGCAGUGGGGAAUAUUGCACAAUGGAGGGAACUCUGAUGCAGCGACGCCGCGUGAGCGAUGAAGGAAUUCGUUUCGUAAAGCUCUGUUCUAUGGGAAGAAAAGGACUGUACCAUAGGAGAAAGCCCCGGCUAAAUACGUG
rnacentral:rRNA from 1 species